CCUUUUCACCAAGAAAUGGAGAAACCCUCUGCUAAAAUCUGCACCGGGCUACUGGCCGGCAUCAGAGGCUCGCUGGCUGAACUCUUUCCAUGCAAUGAGCGAAACUGAAGUCUAAUUUUUUCAGUAAAAGUGGUGCCUGCCGGGCACAUCAUAAACAUUCCCCUUUGCACGGGUCUGGGGCGAAACCUCACCUCGCAUUCCCUUGAGGCUUUACCCAUCAGCUUCACGAUCGAAUCGAAGGCUGCACUGAGGCGCUCGGCUUCUUCCUCCUGCAAUUAAAGACAUUCUCUGUAA